GAGUGGCGAACGGGUGAGUAACACGUGGGUAACCUGCCCAUCAGAAGGGGAUAACACUUGGAAACAGGUGCUAAUACCGUAUAACACUAUUUUCCGCAUGGAAGAAAGUUGAAAGGCGCUUUUGCGUCACUGAUGGAUGGACCCGCGGUGCAUUAGCUAGUUGGUGAGGUAACGGCUCACCAAGGCAACGAUGCAUAGCCGACCUGAGAGGGUGAUCGGCCACACUGGGACUGAGACACGGCCCAGACUCCUACGGGAGGCAGCAGUAGGGAAUCUUCGGCAAUGGACGAAAGUCUGACCGAGCAACGCCGCGUGAGUGAAGAAGGUUUUCGGAUCGUAAAACUCUGUUGUUAGAGAAGAACAAGGAUGAGAGUAAAAUGUUCAUCCCUUGACGGUAUCUAACCAGAAAGCCACGGCUAACUACGUGCCAGCAGCCGCGGUAAUACGUAGGUGGCAAGCGUUGUCCGGAUUUAUUGGGCGUAAAGCGAGCGCAGGCGGUUUCUUAAGUCUGAUGUGAAAGCCCCCGGCUCAACCGGGGAGGGUCAUUGGAAACUGGGAGACUUGAGUGCAGAAGAGGAGAGUGGAAUUCCAUGUGUAGCGGUGAAAUGCGUAGAUAUAUGGAGGAACCCCAGUGGCGAAGGCGGCUCUCUGGUCUGUAACUGACGCUGAGGCUCGAAAGCGUGGGGAGCGAACAGGAUUAGAUACCCUGGUAGUCCACGCCGUAAACGAUGAGUGCUAAGUGUUGGAGGGUUUCCGCCCUUCAGUGCUGCAGCAAACGCAUUAAGCACUCCGCCUGGGGAGUACGACCGCAAGGUUGAAACUCAAAGGAAUUGACGGGGGCCCGCACAAGCGGUGGAGCAUGUGGUUUAAUUCGAAGCAACGCGAAGAACCUUACCAGGUCUUGACAUCCUUUGACCACUCUAGAGAUAGAGCUUCCCCUUCGGGGGCAAAGUGACAGGUGGUGCAUGGUUGUCGUCAGCUCGUGUCGUGAGAUGUUGGGUUAAGUCCCGCAACGAGCGCAACCCUUAUUGUUAGUUGCCAUCAUUUAGUUGGGCACUCUAGCGAGACUGCCGGUGACAAACCGGAGGAAGGUGGGGAUGACGUCAAAUCAUCAUGCCCCUUAUGACCUGGGCUACACACGUGCUACAAUGGGAAGUACAACGAGUUGCGAAGUCGCGAGGCUAAGCUAAUCUCUUAAAGCUUCUCUCAGUUCGGAUUGUAGGCUGCAACUCGCCUACAUGAAGC
rnacentral:rRNA from 3 species